AAUCUUAGACAAUGGGCGCAAGCCUGAUCUAGCCAUGCCGCGUGUGUGAUGAAGGUCUUAGGAUCGUAAAGCACUUUCGCCAGGGAUGAUAAUGACAGUACCUGGUAAAGAAACCCCGGCUAACUCCGUGCCAGCAGCCGCGGUAGUACGGAGGGGGUUAGCGUUGUUCGGAAUUACUGGGCGUAAAGCGCGCGUAGGCGGAUUGGAAAGUUGGGGGUGAAAUCCCGGGGCUCAACCCCGGAACUGCCUCCAAAACUACCAGUCUAGAGUUCGAGAGAGGUGAGUGGAAUUCCAAGUGUAGAGGUGAAAUUCGUAGAUAUUUGGAGGAACACCAGUGGCGAAGGCGGCUCACUGGCUCGAUACUGACGCUGAGGUGCGAAAGCGUGGGGAGCGAACAGG
rnacentral:rRNA from 1 species